GCUGGCUUCGGUGAAUGCAGUUGAGGGAAGCAGACAGUGUCAGCGAUUGUUAUUUGAACUGACUGGCCGGACCGAAACGCUGUCUGUGUUGAAGUAGCAGUGAGGUCACGGUUGCAAUGCGAAAGACUAGCGCCGUACGGCUCUCCUGGGACAAAGGUGAUAUCUGACUUAGCCGUAACCCAGUACAGCACGCAGGCAGACAGCUCCCACUGUAACAAGACUCCUUGUACUUCAGAACCAGUGAAUGAAAUUACUUUAACCUUAGCUAGCUGUGCGCGCCGUCUUUCAUUCAGACCAGGAAUGUUGAUGUCAAUGGAGGCUUUUUCAAACAAUAUAUAAUUGGGAGAAAGAUUUGUGUCAGGCGUGUUGGUUAGUAUUUCCUGAGAGAAUGCUGGUGGGAGCACCAUGUGCACCCGCGGACAGAUCAUUGGAAGUCUCUUCGUGCUCUCUGCGCUGGAAAUAGGCUUCGGCAUCACCAGCGUGGCUCUGGGUGCAGUCAGCAUCGGGAGGAGCCGUGCUCAAGAACUCCACCUCGGGGACUCCUCACCGGUAUGGAGCGGGGUUUGUUUUUUAGUCUGUGGAAUAUGUGGAAUUGUCUGUGCGAUAAAGAAGUCGGGUCGCAUAAUGAUAUUAUUUUCUGCCUGUUGUAUCUGUGGACUGAUCGGAGGAAUAUUAAAUUUUCAGUUUCUGCGGGCACUAGCAAAAAGGACAGAAAUCGCUUACCCCGUACAUGUGGCUUCCAUGUCAAUGGCAUGUUUGGGAAUUGCAGGCUGCACUCUCUCUGCCUGGCUCACCUGUCGCCUGGCCAGCAACGAGCAGCAGAGGAUGUUCCUGGAAAGAGACCAUUCAUUGCAUCACUCCCACGAAAUGACAGACAAAGUACUUUAAGAGUGCCAGAGAAUCUGGAACAGAAAGAUGCCAAUGGAUCCUCAGUGGACAGUGAACACUCUGCAAAUCACUGCCACUUGACAGGCAUGCACCCUUGACCAGCUCCAGUCCACGCAUAUAAGUGGGAACUCCCACCAGGGAAUAACAAGGCUGUCACAUGGUACAAGAGAUUCCAGAUAAUAUGAGCAACGGAAUACCACAAAUUAUGCAGAAUGGGAGACCAACAUGAUGAAAAGAAUAUUUUACAGAAAUAAAACUUUUACUGCAAGUUAACUCUGCAUGAUGAAUGUGAUAUUUUUACAUAUCCCAUAUUUAUUAAUGCCAAAGCCUGGAGUUCAGGUUGCUACAAACAAACCACCACCCGCUACCAGAAAUAGCAGCGUGGCACUACAAUCUCAAGGAAUCUUCAAAGACAUACUUACUCAGCUCUGAGUUUACAAGAAGAUUUUAAGGUGAUCCAAAAGGUCCAGGUGUGUCGCUUUAAGGAAUGUUUUGUGAGAAAUCAAAGGCUAAACUUUUCAGAAACAUCACUCAACAGACUUUCCAAGAAGCAUGCAAAAUAAGCUAUUCAGCUUUCAAAGAAAGCACUUAAAUUGAACAGAUAUUGAUAUUCAAAAGCAAUUUUUCAUGGAAUGCCAACAAUACUAAAAACAAAUUCAGUCUCCAGUUACUGUAUCUAUACUGAAUGCACUACUCUAUAUACACACUGUGGGUGACACAUGGACAAUAUAAUGAAUAUUUGUUGUUGAAUUCUAUAUUUAAAAAUAAUGAAUCAUUAUUUUUCUAUAAAUGUUAAUAUGACUUCAUAACAAUAACACAGUAAAUAAGCAUUGCCUCAUCAGUGUGCAUUUGGGCUUCUUAAACAAUAUUCCUUCCUCACACAGCAAAACAUUUGUCUUGCAAUGAUUGGUAAAAGUUAAGAUAAUGGUUAUGAGGAUAUUAUAUAUACAUAAUUUGUUGUGCCACAUUAUUUUCAGUUGUGUCCUCAGUUUGCUAUUGUUUGCAGACUGUUUUCUGUUGGGUACACAUAAUGUAAUUUUAAUGCAGAUCAGACUGAAAAAUGAUUUCUGAUUGCAAAUUUGCAAAGAGUAAACAUUUACUUGAGAUAAAAUGAAAGUGAACCAACAGGACUAUUUGAGAAUAAGAUAUUUUACACCAACUACAAUUAUUAGCAAAGAAAUCUGGUUUCAGUUUCUCGGA